GGAGGCAUGGCUCAAUGGCAACGAGUUCGACUAUCACUUCUAUGAUUUGGGUUCAAUCCCCACUGCCUCCG